rnacentral:tRNA from 1 species
UCUAUAAUGGCAGAAAAGUGCAAUGGAUUUAAGCUCCAUAAAUAAAGUUUACCUUUUUAUAGAA